AAAUGCCCAGCAGUGAUGAGGCUCCCAUUCCAGAAAACAACGAGGGCAGAUUCAUCCUAGAUCUCUGGGAACUCAAGGCCGGUGGAUGGGACAGCUCAGUCUCCCCUUUCCCAUAGAUGGGAAUAUAGAGGCCAGAGAGACCCACCCUUUUGACCAAAUCACGUGACCAAGAGUGGCACCCUGGAAUUCAGGGCCGUUGCCCUAGCAACUCAUGGGCUCCUUGGAUCUUAACCUGGUGUAACCAUUCCUUUCAUACCCUCUGUCUGCUCAGGAUCUUCCCUGCUUUAUAAGGAGGCUCUUUUCCAGCUCAAAGCCAGGUUCGGGUUUGCCCAGGGCUGCAGGUGGGUUCCAGGAAACUACAGGCACCACCAGCUGGCAAAUAGUUCUCUUUUGAUGACUGUGCUUACAAGGGCCACCCCUGACUUUCUGGUUCCCAAAUAGGCUUGGAGAACCCAAGCAGGUGCUCACAUAUCCAGAGAAAUCUGGGACAAAGAGCUCCAGGAAAACUUGGGGCCAAUGAAUAGAAAGAAGAGGCAGGUUAUAUUGAAAAGAAGAAGAAUUUCAAAACUAGGCCAGCUUCCUAGUGUCUGGUAUAAUAAUAUCAAAACUGCGCUGGGCGCUUAGAACGUGUCCAGCACCUCACAUGCAUGAGUGUAUUGAAUCCCACAGCAGGCCAGUCCUAUUAUUAUUCUGACUUUCCAAGCUGAAGAAAUGGAGACUUUUCAGAGUCACAUGGCUUGCCCAAGUCACCAGCUUGUUAAUCACAGAAGCAGGACUGCAGCCUGGGCCUGUCUCUCCCUGAAGCUGCCUCCUCUCUGGACCUGGACUGAGUCCUGGUGAUCGGGAAGGAGCGGCGGGCACAGGCAAGCCGCUGUCUGCUCAGGCUCGGGUUUCCUCAUCUGUGAAACGGGAACGGAUGUGGCUUCUUAACCAUUACGCUGUGUCCGUCACAGUCAUUCUCACUUCUCGAGUACCCAGUUGGUGGGAGUUCCAGUAUGGCACAGAGAUACAGGAUUGUGUUUUUGUUUUUUCACUCUGGAAUGAUCUUAGAGAAAUUUGAUGGGAAAAAUGAGAGCAGGGAAGGGUCAAAGGCCAGAGGUCCAGCCCUGCAUUUUCCAGGGUUGUGAUCUUUGCGUUUCGUCUCCUCAGCUGCAAGAUGAGUCACGGUUCUACUUCCCCUGGAAGGGCAGAAGUUGCAUAAGAUUGUUGAGGCUCAAGCGAGAUAAUGUGUGAGGCUGUUACUCCAGACUAGAGCCUUGAUUUUUAAACUUCAGCGUGCAUCAGAAUCGCCUGGAAGGUUUGUUAGAACCCCGCCCCCAGAGUUUCUCCUUCAGGGGGUCCAGGGUGGGCCUGAGAGUUUCUGAAGUGUUCCCAGGGGUUGCCGAUGCUGCUAGUCCAGGCACUAUAUUUAGGGAACCCCCGUCCUAAAGCCUCACCAAUUGAAUCUCCUAAGAUGAUGAAGAUGGCCUACAUCUGUGCUGUCCUAAACGGUAGCCAACAGCCACACGUGGCUACUGAGAACUCGGAGUGUGGCUAGCACGCCUGAGGACCCGAAUUUAAAAAACAGUUAAUUUUAAUUAACUUAAAUUUAAAUAGCCACGUAUGGUUGGUGGCCAGCGUUUUGGACAGUGUUGUUCUAGAGCUCAUCUGAGUUUGCAGAUGAAGAAACCGAGGCUUUGAGAGGUACCUCCCCUCCCUUGGAGUCUCAUGGCAAUCCUGGGGUGGUGCUCCGGCUGGCUGGCCUUCUUGAACAGGUCCUGUGAUAUGGGAACAUUUGAGUGCUUUGGGGGUGUCUUUGUUGCUUUGAGUUCCAGGUAGCUGAAAGGAGUGGGCUGGAAGGGGACGGGGAGACCCAUUUGCUGGCUCAUGACAAAGAUGAGAGCUGCAGACACAGCGCACAGCGGCAGGAAAAGGCUAAAUGAAAGAGGAUCAUCAGAGCGAAUCACGCUACUGCUCAGAAUGACCAGCUCUUCGGGAUUGAAGAAAGCUUCCUUCAUCCUGUCCUUGGCCUCCGUGGUCAAAGAGCUUCAGGGGCCUUGCUGACCUCCUUCCUCUCCAUUUUGCUGUGCCCUCUCACUGUCCCUGAACUUGAGAUCCUGGAGGUUUAGCUGUGCUCUGGGUCCCUUGAAGACUUCGGAGGCAAUCCACUAAGAAAUGGGGAUUUAAGUGAGACAUGAAGAAGAACUUCCUUAUGGCAAGAACUAUAAGAUGUUGAAGACAAGACACAGUAUUGGGAGUAAAGGCGGUGAGGCACGGAAAUAUAUUUACCAGUGAGUCAACGGUGUUCUGCCGUGCCCAACCGCUUGCAUCCCCUGGCUUGCAUCAUAUUGAAUCCUUCUGUCAACUGCAGUCCCACAACCCAAGUUGUGCUUUUCCACUCCAGACACCCAGGGAACCGAGUCUUCUCCCCCAGGAUCCCUGCUCUGCUCGUUCAGUUGACACGAAGGCACUGGGGCCUGAAGGACACGGAACAGGUGAGGCCAGUCCCCCUGCUUGAACAGCUCUGUGUAGGAAAGGAGAUGACUCCCUCUCCCCUCUCCCCUCUCCCCACGGUCUCCCUCUCCCUCUCUUUCCCCGGUCUCCCUCUGAUGCCGAGCCGAAGCUGGACUGUACUGCUGCCAUCUCGGCUCACUGCAACCUCCCUGCCUGAUUCUCCUGCCUCAGCCUGCCAAGUGCCUGCGAUUGCAGGCGUGCGCCGCCACGCCUGACUGGUUUUCAUAUUUUUUUGGUGGAGACGGGGUUUCGCUGUGUUGGCCGGGCUGGUCUCCAGCUCCUAACCGCGAGUGAUCCGCCA
rnacentral:lncRNA from 10 species